GGAGGGGUGGGUGAGUGGUUGAAACCGGCGGCCUUGAAAGCCGUUAAGCCUUCGGGCUUCGGGGGUUCGAAUCCCUCCCCCUCUG
rnacentral:tRNA from 1 species